CAAUAGCGUAUAUUAAAGUUGUUGCGGUUAAAAAGUUCGUAGUUGAAUUUCUGCAUGUUUAGACCCUGCGACCUAGUCGAUGUGUGGUCCAUUACAUGCUUUUUUCUAGUAACUCGUCAUUAACGUGUCGUGUUAUCUAGAAGUGUUACUUUGAGGAAAUUAGAGUGUUCCAGGCAGGCAUAAGCUAUGAAUACAUUAGCAUGGAAUAACAAAAUAUGGCAUCGGUUUUAUUUUGUUGGUUUCUAGAGCCGAAGCAAUGAUUAAUAGGGACAGUCGGGGGCAUUCGUAUUUAACUGUCAGAGGUGAAAUUCUUGGAUUAGUUAAAGACGAACUACUGCGAAAGCAUCUGCCAAGUAUGCCUUCAUUGA
rnacentral:rRNA from 1 species